rnacentral:rRNA from 1 species
AGAGUUUGAUCCUGGCUCAGGACGAACGCUGGCGGCGCGCCUAACACAUGCAAGUCGAACGGAGCUUAGAGAGCUUGCUUUUUAAGCUUAGUGGCGAACGGGUGAGUAACGCGUGAGUAACCUGCCCUAGAGUGGGGGACAACAGUUGGAAACGACUGCUAAUACCGCAUAAGCCCACGGUGCCGCAUGACACUGAGGGAAAAGGAUUUAUUCGCUUUAGGAUGGACUCGCGUCCAAUUAGCUAGUUGGUGAGGUAACGGCCCACCAAGGCGACGAUUGGUAGCCGGACUGAGAGGUUGAACGGCCACAUUGGGACUGAGACACGGCCCAGACUCCUACGGGAGGCAGCAGUGGGGGAUAUUGCACAAUGGGGGAAACCCUGAUGCAGCGACGCCGCGUGGAGGAAGAAGGUCUUCGGAUUGUAAACUCCUGUUGUUGAGGAAGAUAAUGACGGUACUCAACAAGGAAGUGACGGCUAACUACGUGCCAGCAGCCGCGGUAAAACGUAGGUCACAAGCGUUGUCCGGAAUUACUGGGUGUAAAGGGAGCGCAGGCGGGAAGACAAGUUGGAAGUGAAAUCCAUGGGCUCAACCCAUGAACUGCUUUCAAAACUGUUUUUCUUGAGUAGUGCAGAGGUAGGCGGAAUUCCCGGUGUAGCGGUGGAAUGCGUAGAUAUCGGGAGGAACACCAGUGGCGAAGGCGGCCUACUGGGCACCAACUGACGCUGAGGCUCGAAAGUGUGGGUAGCAAACAGGAUUAGAUACCCUGGUAGUCCACACCGUAAACGAUGAUUACUAGGUGUUGGAGGAUUGACCCCUUCAGUGCCGCAGUUAACACAAUAAGUAAUCCACCUGGGGAGUACGACCGCAAGGUUGAAACUCAAAGGAAUUGACGGGGGCCC